rnacentral:rRNA from 1 species
UCCUACGGGAGGCAGCAGUGAGGAAUAUUGGUCAAUGGGCGAGAGCCUGAACCAGCCAAGUCGCGUGAGGGACGACGGCCCUACGGGUUGUAAACCUCUUUUGUCGGGGGACAAACGGCGGCACGCGUGCCGUCCUGAGGGUACCCGGAGAAAAAGCAUCGGCUAACUCCGUGCCAGCAGCCGCGGUAAUACGGAGGAUGCGAGCGUUAUCCGGAUUUAUUGGGUUUAAAGGGUGCGCAGGCGGGCUGUUAAGCCGGCGGUAAAAAUUCAGGGCUCAACCCUGUCGAGCCGUCGGAACUGG